CCUACGGGUGGCAGCAGUGAGGAAUAUUGGUCAAUGGACGAGAGUCUGAACCAGCCAAGUAGCGUGAAGGAUGACUGCCCUAUGGGUUGUAAACUUCUUUUAUAUGGGAAUAAAAUGUUCCACGUGUGGGAUUUUGUAUGUACCAUAUGAAUAGGAUUGGCUAACUUCGUGCCAGCAGGCGUGGUAAUACGGAGGAUCCGAGCGUUAUCCGGAUUUAUUGGGUUUAAAGGGAGCGUAGGUGGAUUGUUAAGUCAGUUGUGAAAGUUUGCGGCUCAACCGUAAAAUUGCAGUUGAAACUGGCAGUCUUGAGUACAGUAGAGGUGGGCGGAAUUCGUGGUGUAGCGGUGAAAUGCUUAGAUAUCACGAAGAACUCCGAUUGCGAAGGCAGUUCACUGGACUGCAACUGACACUGAGGCUCGAAAGUGUGGGUAUCAAACAGGAUUAGAUACCCCUGUAGUC
rnacentral:rRNA from 1 species